GCCUGACUGGCUCAGUUGGUAGAGUAUAUGACUCUUGAUCUCAGGGUCAUGAGUUUGAGCCCCACGUUGGGCA
rnacentral:tRNA from 1 species